AAAUACUUACAUCGUCUUUUCCAGAAGAGCUUUCGCGAUUCCUUUACCCCUCCAGUUGGUGUCCACGGAGAUUAUCCUGAUCUCGAGGGUGUUCAACCCCCGGUACUGUCCGUCCCGGUUCACGUUCCUGUCCACGUAAUUCAGUAGCCUCAGGAUCUUCUUAAAUUUUGGGUUCUUGCAGGCCUCUAUGUACUCCGGUUCGUCGUCGUUCGACGGCUCCAUUUUCCCUGCGCCCAACGGAAAGUCCGAUUUAAUUUUCGCGAUCGGAAAACUCCAGCGUGUGUGUUGCUGGGCGUGUAUCCUACACAAUCCCACCUACUUUGCGGAAUACCAGUGGGGUGCAAAGUUUGCGUAACUCGUGCCGCCGGUGCAGAGACAAUAAACAGAUUAUAGAUCAUUGAAUUUCUAUCUAAGUGCCCCCGAACGCGUGUCGCAAUCGGCGAGGAAAGACUAAUUAGUAACGGAAGAAGAAAGAUGUUCCCUCCGAGACAGCACUCGGAUAACGCGUCCGUUCAUCGCUCGCCUAUUCUACUUAUCGCACAUUGUCGCGGCCGACGAAUCAGCUGUGGCCAACAGACGAAUAAAUAAUUGCACGAAUUAUAGCGACGGUGAUUGUCGCUGGGAUCCCACGGUAACUCACUCCGGACAGAACAGUGCCGAGGGAAGAUUUAAUGUUCCCGAGAGAUUUGUACCGUGCCUUGUACGGGUUUUAUCAUUUGAUAUCGCCGGAUGCAAAUGAAACGGCGCGGGGAUUACAAAUGCGUCUCGAACACGUUCGGCUUCGCUUGCCACACGCGAUCGGCGACGCCACGUUUGAUGGAAAAUUGCGGAUUGAAGCGAGGCAAAAUUAUUUGCCGGCUCAUUUAGACGUUGCAUUGUAUCGGAAGACCCUGGCGCACGUCGGGAUGAUGAUAGAGAAGAACGCGUGCCAUUAAUCGUGCCAAGUGUAUCCUCGAAACUGUUGUUCCACGAAGGCAUUCCAUCGGCGUGUCUCGCGAGGAAUUCGUCGCGAAGAGUCGGAAAAGGAAAGGCGAGAAAGAGGAUAUUCGCGCGAGAGAGCGGCGAAAGAGAGUGUAAGCAGAUUACGAGGAGCGAGUGAGAUUAAUGAAGAUCGAUAGCGAGUUCUCAAACGUUACAAGUAUCCGUCGACUGGAACGUCUCGACCCUCGGUCCCGGCGAGUACCAUCAUCCCCUUUCACGAGCGGCGCGAUGGAAAAGUCUCGGUCACCUGACAGGCCAGGUGACGGGUUCACACUUACGAUCGAUGAUUCUCAACGGAGUCACCGGUCUCCGCGGACCCGUCCCGAACGGUGGGAGCCACACGAGGAAACGAAGGGACCGUCUCGCGGAGAAUCGUACUCGAGAUUCCGUCCGGAACACGUUACCUCACUUUACUACACUUGGAAUACGUGCGUACCUCCGAAAGCGGAGCGUGUCACUCGAAUUGCCGCGCAGACACCGCCGGUUCGAAACGAUUUUCACUGGCCAACGCGAAGACCGCGCAAUAACCGCCGUAACCUCUGCCUCCCGAUGCCAGCCGCCCAGUGCGGACCUCGAGAAUGCUUCCUUUGUUAUCGUCCGCGUGUCAUCGUUAUCGCCGCGCAUUCUUCUGCAAAACCGAGGGACGUUCAAACGCGGCGCGUGCACAGCUACGGACGCACGAGCGAAACGGCAUUCGGAACAGGGGUGUAGACACCGCUCGGGAUUUGUCCGACAGUGGUUGUAGCUUUAACACGGCAAACGCCGUGUCAGUCAUCGAUGACCGACGCUUUUGAAUUGCUUGAAAAUCGUCGUGACAUGCAAGAUAACCCAUGUCGAAUCUUUAAUAAUGUAGCUAAGUUGAUAAUAGAGCAACGCAAGGACUGUAACGCUAAGUAAUUAAUCAUUGUUUCCGCUUCUCUUUGCUACAAAAGAAUGACUUUACGGAACGACGGUCAAGAUUUUCAUGGCGCUUGACGCGUUAAGGGACAGAGCGUCGCGUCGCAUCUACUCUUAAUAACAACAAUGCGAUUUCCUCGAUCGGGGUAAGGUACUCGCUGCUAUUUUCGUGCGAGACGCGCCACCGAUUCGUCCGAAAAUAGCCUGGAAAGGAUCGAGGCGAGCGAGCGAGCGAGCAAGCGAGCAUUGCCAAUGUCGCCGGUAUAUUUACAACGCGACGAUGGUCAUUCGGCGAGAUGAAAAACUGGGUCUCCGUGGUGGUCGUCUUCGCGUCGGGGCGUCCUCGCCGGCGGAACAUUCGUCUUCGGGCGCGACGCUCUUACGGCGAUCCAAUAAAUCCGGUGAUCGGAUUAUCGUAACACGCGGGGCAAUCGAUUUAUCGUCACGCGGAAGGAAGGAAGUUGCACCGAUGAACCAGUGCGGGCCGGCGUGCGCGGCGCUCAACAAUGUUCGAGGGACGGACGGCUAAUGCUCGGCGACGCGAUAAAACAAGGAGCGCGAAUAGAACGUAAUACGUAGUCGAAGGAAAAAUGUUUAUCUACUGUGCUGUUAUCGUCGUUCGGCCGUGCUGCGUUUACGGGAUUUUCCAGUCGGGGCGACCGCGCGCAUUUCUAAUCAACGAUGCACGCAACGUGGAAAGUGUAUCGGCCGAUUCGCCGCGCGGAGACUUUCGACGUACCUACCUGGGGAAGCUGCCUCGUCGAUGGUGCUCAAUGACUUUUCGUCGGCGAAUCGAAAGAACGAAACCGCGAUCGCGUCCCCUUCGGUCUAUCGCCAACUACGCACUGCGAACGCCGGAGGACAAAGUUCGAGCAAUAGGGUAGGGUCAUUACCAUCCGGCAACGUAAUAUCCCUUCGUCGACGGCCCAUGGAAAGGGUAACCCCGAAUCUAUUUUCCCAUUGAAUUUCAUUAGAUAGCGAGAUCCGAUGCUUAUUAGUAAUUAGGCCUUCAACCGGGCCCAGCAUCCACUGCCCUCUUUGACCCUAACAACAUUAACCAAUUCAAUGUUGCUCCGAUCGAGCGCGUCGAUGGCAUUCAACUCCUAAAUCACGGUCCGCCACCGGCUCUAAGUAGAACUUCUCGCGGAAAUCUC